AAUGGGCUAAAGCCUGAUGCAGCAACGCCGCGUGAGCGAUGAAGGCCUUCGGGUCGUAAAGCUCUGCCCUCAAGGAAGAAUUUUGACGGUACUUGAGGAGGAAGCCCCGGCUAACUACGUGCCAGCAGCCGCGGUAAUACGUAGGGGGCUAGCGUUAUCCGGAAUUACUGGGCGUAAAGGGUGCGUAGGUGGUCUGACAAGUCAGGGGUGAAAGGCUACGGCUCAACCGUAGUAAGCCCUUGAAACUAGAGAACUUGAGUGCAGGAGAGGAGAGUAGAAUUCCUAGUGUAGCGGUGAAAUGCGUAGAUAUUAGGAGGAAUACCAGUAGCGAAGGCGGCUCUCUGGACUGUAACUGACACUGAGUCACGAAAGCGUGGGGAGCAAA
rnacentral:rRNA from 1 species